rnacentral:misc_RNA from 1 species
GACAUAUACACUUAAACAAUAACUUGACAAAGAAACCUAUUCUUUAUCUAAGCACAAUAAUAACAUUAUCAAUUUAUCAGUAAAAUUAACUAUUCAAAAACUUUAAAUCUACCUCUUACAAAUAUGAAAUAAAGAAAAAGUUAAACUUAUAAAUUAAUACAAAGAAUAGACGGUAAAUAAAUAAGUACUAAUAAACAAGUAACAAAGAACACAGACGAAAUGAGUAAAAUUUAAGUAGUCGUAGUGGUCUUCUUUUCUUUCAAAACCUGCUCUGC